GGUGUCUGGAAUGGAGGCUGAUCCAAGAUCCUCGGGUGCGACAGCAUUAGGAAAGCCACCUUUCGGUUUCGUGGUUGCUACCGGGGAUCUCGGACCAGGCUUCAUUCCUCACACA
rnacentral:pre_miRNA from 1 species